rnacentral:rRNA from 1 species
UACAGAGGUCUCAAGCGUUGUUCGGAUUCAUUGGGCGUAAAGGGUGCGCAGGCGGCGGUUCGCGUGGCGAGAUGAAAUCUCCUGGCUUACCUGGGAGGGUGGUCGCCAGACGGGAUCGCUUGAGGGUCGGAGAGGGGCGUGGAAUUCCGGGUGGAGCGGUGAAAUGCGUAGAGAUCCGGAGGAACACCGACGGCGUAGGCAGCGCCCUGGACGACACCUGACGCUGAGGCACGAAAGCGUGGGGAGCAAACAGG